CCAAAGGCUCUCAGUCUGCCCCUGAUCAAACCUCCCACAUUCUGAGUAAAACAAUACCCCCAAUGUAUGGCUCUGUCACGGUCACUUGAAGUUACAGUGCUGUCUGUAACUGUCAAAAAACUGAAAUAAUGAGAUCUCUUGAUCUCAUUAUUUCAGUUUUUUGACAGUUACAAUUUUGAUAGAGGAAUAUGAUGGGUCGGUGUCUCAUUUUGGGCAUUCCUGUUAGAUCAAAUCACCCCAUAAACCAGUGGUUCACAAAUCUUUUAGGGUCAAGGCGCACUUAAUUUUUCAGUAUUUUUUCAAUGCACCACAAGUCAAAAUUUCUAGGUUGUAUAUCUGUACAGCGCUGCGGCAUUUACUGUUGCUAUAGUGUAAUGUACAGUGUUGGUGUUUGAAGGGGUGCUUAUAUAUAUAUAUAUAUAUAUAUAUAUAUAUAUAUAUG